AUGACAAACAACAUCACAUUCAUCUGGACUCUCCUGCUCUGUAUCACAGCAUGCAGAUGCCAGUAUACUGUGACUCAGACUCCAGCAGUGAAAGCUGCUCUUUUGGGACAGACCAUCACACUCAACUGCAGGAUCAGCAGCCCCAACAGUUAUCACUACUUCUCCUGGUACCUUCAGAAACCUGGAGAAGUUCCUAAACUGUUAAUGUAUCUCACAAGCUCACGCUAUGGAUCAACUCCCAGUCGCUUUGUUGGUGGAGGACCAAGUGGUGGUAGUGCCUUCACUCUGACCAUCACUCACCGACAACCAGGUGAUCAGCUGACUGCUGAACUGUCAGGCUCAUCAGGAAGCUCUACAGUGACUGUGUUUGUCAUCAUUGAGGAGAAAUAA